CUACGUGCCAGCAGCCGCGGUAAUACGUAGGUCCCGAGCGUUGUCCGGAUUUAUUGGGCGUAAAGCGCACGCAGGCGGUCUGUCAAGUCGGAUGUGAAAUCCCCGGGCUCAACCUGGGAACUGCAUUCGAAACUGGCAGGCUAGAGUCUUGUAGAGGGGGGUAGAAUUCCAGGUGUAGCGGUGAAAUGCGUAGAGAUCUGGAGGAAUACCGGUGGCGAAGGCGGCCCCCUGGACAAAGACUGACGCUCAGGUGCGAAAGCGUGGGGAGCAAACAGGAUUAGAUACCCUGGUAGUCCACGCCGUAAACGAUGUCGAUUUGGAGGUUGUGCCCUUGAGGCGUGGCUUCCGGAGCUAACGCGUUAAAUCGACCGCCUGGGGAGUACGGCCGCAAGGUUAAAACUCAAAUGAAUUGACGGGGGCCCGCACAAGCGGUGGAGCAUGUGGUUUAAUUCGAUGCAACGCGAAGAACCUUACCUGGUCUUGACAUCC
rnacentral:rRNA from 1 species